rnacentral:rRNA from 1 species
AGUGAACGCUGGCGGUAGGCCUAACACAUGCAAGUCGAACGGCAGCACAGUAAGAGCUUGCUCUUACGGGUGGCGAGUGGCGGACGGGUGAGGAAUACAUCGGAAUCUACUUUUUCGUGGGGGAUAACGUAGGGAAGCUUACGCUAAUACCGCAUACGACCUACGGGUGAAAGCAGGGGAUCUUCGGACCUUGCGCGAUUGAAUGAGCCGAUGUCGGAUUAGCUAGUUGGCGGGUAAAGGCCCACCAAGGCGACGAUCCGUAGCUGGUCUGAGAGGAUGAUCAGCCACACUGGAACUGAGACACGGUCCAGACUCCUACGGGAGGCAGCAGUGGGGAAUAUUGGACAAAGGGCGCAAGCCUGAUCCAGCCAUACCGCGUGGGUGAAGAAGGCCUUCGGGUUGUAAAGCCCUUUUGUUGGGAAAGAAAAGCAGCAGGUUAAUACCCCGCUGUUCUGACGGUACCCAAAGAAUAAGCACCGGCUAACUUCGUG